UUUGAGGUUUGAUGGUUGGAAUGCACUCUUUAUAUGACCAAAUGGCUACUGUAAAAAUCUUGGAUUAAGAAAUUUUUCAUUUUGGUUGGUUUUCAAGCUAGCCAAGUUUGGUGGUGAGACUAGGCUAGGUCGGUGCAUGGGGCCAAGAUUUGGGAAAUUUUCAGAGUGUUGGUUUUUGAGGUUUGAUUGUUGGAAUGCACUCUUUAUAUGUCCAAAUGGCUACGAUAAAAAACUUGGUGCAAGAAAAAUUUCAUUCUGGUUGGUUUUCAAGCUACCGAAGUUUGGUGGUGAGACUUGGCUAGGUCCGUGCAUGGGGCCAACAUUUAAGAAAUUUUAAAAGUUUUAACUUUUGAGGUUUGAUGGUUGGAUUGCACACUUUAUAUGAGCAAAAGGCUACAGCAAAAAUCUUGGUGCAAGAAAAUUUUCAUUUUGGUGGGUUUUCAAGGUAGCCAUGUUUGGUCGUGAGACUUGGCUAGGUCGAUGCUCGGGGCCAAGAUUUUCAAAAUUUUAAAAGUGGUGGUUUUUGAGGUUUUAUUGUUGGAAUUCACUCUUUAUAUGACGAAAUGGCUACGGUAAAAAAUCUUGGUGCAACAAGAUUUUCAUUUUGGUGGGUUCUCAAGCUAGCCAAGUUUGGUGGUGAGACUUGGGUAGGUCGGUGCGUGGGGCCAAGAUUUUCGAAAUUUUCAAAGUUGUGGUUUUUGAGGUUUGAUAGUUGGAAUUCAGUCUUUAUAUGACGAAAUGGCUAUGGUAAAAAAUCUUUGUGCAACAAGAUAUUCAUUUUGGUGGGUUUUCAAGCUAGCCAAGUUUGGUGGUGAGGCUUGGCGAGGUCGGUGCAUGGGGCCAAGAUUUGGGAAAUUUUCAAAGUGUUGGUUUUUGAGGUUUGAUCGUUGGAGUGCAUCUUUAUAUGACCAAAUGGCUACGAUAAAAAUCUUGGUGCAAGAAAUAUUUCAUUCUAGUUGGUUUUCAAGCUACCCAAGUUUGCUGGUGAGACUUGGCUAGGUUCGUGCAUGGGUUUUAAAAGUGUUAAUUUUUGACGUUUGAUGGUUGGAAUGCACUCUUUAUAUGACCAAAUGGCUACUGUAAAAAUCUUGCUGCAAGAAAUUUUUCAUUUUGGAUGGUUUUCAAGGAAGCCAAGUUUGGUGGUGAGACUUGGCUAGGUUGGUGCAUGGGGCCAAGAUUUGGGAAAUUUUCAAAGUGUUUGAUUUUAGGUUUGAUGGUUGGAAUGCACUCUUUAUAUGACCAAAUGGCUAGUGUAAAAAUCUUGGUGCAACAAAUUUUUCAUUUUGGUGGGUUUUCAAGCUAGCCAACCUUGGUGGUGAGACUUGGAUUGGUUGGUGCAUGGGGCUAAGAUUUGGGAAAUUUUCAAAGUGUUGGUUUUUGAGGUUUGAUGGUUGGAACGCACUCUUUAUAUGACCAAAUGGCUACUGUAAAAAUCUUUGUUUAAGAAAUUUUUCAUUUUGGUUGGUUUUCAAGGUAGCCAAGUUUGGUGGUGAGACUUGGCUAGGUCGAGGCAUGGGGCCAAGAUUUGGGAAAUUUUAAAAGUGUUG
rnacentral:lncRNA from 1 species